UGCAGUCGAACGGUAGAGGGGGCAACCCCUCGAGAGUGGCGAACGGCUUAGUAAUAUAUCGGAACGUGCCCAGUCGUGGGGGAUAACGUAGCGAAAGUUACGCUAAUACCGCAUACGAUCUACGGAUGAAAGCGGGGGAUCGCAAGACCUCGCGCGAUUGGAGCGGCCGAUAUCAGAUUAGGUAGUUGGUGGGGUAAAGGCUCACCAAGCCAACGAUCUGUAGCUGGUCUGAGAGGACGACCAGCCACACUGGAACUGAGACACGGUCCAGACUCCUACGGGAGGCAGCAGUGGGGAAUUUUGGACAAUGGACGCAAGUCUGAUCCAGCCAUUCCGCGUGCAGGAUGAAGGCCCUCGGGUUGUAAACUGCUUUUGUACGGAACGAAAAGGUUUCUAUUAAUACUAGGAGCUCAUGACGGUACCGUAAGAAUAAGCACCGGCUAACUACGUGCCAGCAGCCGCGGUAAUACGUAGGGUGCAAGCGUUAAUCGGAAUUACUGGGCGUAAAGCGUGCGCAGGCGGUUAUGUAAGACAGAGGUGAAAUCCCCGGGCUCAACCUGGGAACUGCCUUUGUGACUGCAUAGCUAGAGUACGGUAGAGGGGGAUGGAAUUCCGCGUGUAGCAGUGAAAUGCGUAGAUAUGCGGAGGAACACCGAUGGCGAAAGCAAUCCCCUGGACCUGUACUGACGCUCAUGCACGAAAGCGUGGGGAGCAAACA
rnacentral:rRNA from 1 species